rnacentral:rRNA from 1 species
UUGCGGAUCGCAUGGCUUCGGCUGGCGAUGGAUCAUUCAAGUUUCUGGCCUAUCAGCUUUGGACGGUAAGGUAUUGGCUUACCGUGGCUUUAACGGGUAACGGGGAAUUAGGGUUCGAUUCCGGAGAGGGAGCAUGAGAAACGGCUACCACAUCCAAGGAAGGCAGCAGGCGCACAAAUUACCCAAUCCUGACUCAGGGAGGUAGUGACAAGAAAUAACAAU